GUGCCAGCCGCCGCGGUAAUACGUAGGUGGCGAGCGUUGUCCGGAAUUAUUGGGCGUAAAGGGCGCGUAGGCGGUUUUUUAAGUCAGGUGUGAAAGCCCCCGGCUCAACUGGGGAGUGUCAUCUGAUACUGGGAAACUCGAGUGCAGGAGAGGAAAGUGGAAUUCCAUGUGUAGCGGUGAAAUGCGUAGAUAUAUGGAGGAACACCAGUGGCGAAGGCGGCUUUCUGGACUGCAACUGACGCUGAGGCGCGAAAGCUGGGGGAGCGAACGGGAUUAGAUACCCCCGUAGUCC
rnacentral:rRNA from 1 species